ensembl:lncRNA LINC01606 long intergenic non-protein coding RNA 1606
ACCUAACGGCUCUUCUUCGAGUCUUCUCAGAGGUUGGAGAUUCCCUGUCUUCUCCAACCUCUGCCAAGUCUUCAGAGAGGUUGGAGUGCGCCUGUCGGAGGUACUAGACCCCAGAUGAGGAUCUCAGGAAGAUCCACAAAGCUGCGUCCAGGGGAACGAACGUGUGGAAGCUGCAGCGGAGCCUCCUGCUCAAGAGUAAAGGACCGGUCUGAAACCUACAAGAACAGAAGAGCCAUGUGACCAGAUCCCUGGUUUGGCAGAGGAGACAUGCGAGAAGACGGAACGUUUUGGCCGAGGAGACAUCUGGCAGGGUGGAACGGAGGGAACAGGUGUGGCAGAGAGAAUAUCUGAGAAGCUCGCAGGAUUCCCAGAAGGAGCACUGGGAGUAGAUUGCCUGUUUUCCCGAAGGAACGGCAAGUUCCAAAGCGAGAAAGAAGAAAUUCCGUGGAUAGGGAGCCAGCCAGGUUUCCUGCAGAGAUUCACGGGAAGCUUUUGAGCAGGGGAGUCAGAAGAUGAGCGAUUCUCACAGUAGACGAGGAGCCUGUUUUUCAGCUAGCUGCUGCAAGGAGCUGGACAUUUCUCCCUUCAAAUAGGACCUGGAAGGCCUGGAAGCAUCUGGAGAAGGGCAUGGCUGUGAGUAGAGAAACAGAGGAUACAGGCUAAAGCAGGAGGAAGCGAGAGGACUCACGGAAAGCCUUGCUGCACUCUCCAAAAGAGCUGCCCUUUUCACGUGAAGAGCUAUGUGAUCGGAUCCCCGGUUUGGCAGAGUAGACAUGCGAGAAGACUGAACGUUUCAUCGUUGAAACCUCUUAAAGGUGGAAUGUGUGGCAGAAAGAACGUCUGAGAAGCUCACGCGAUUUGCAGAAGGAACAUUUGUAGAAGAUUCCCUGUUUUCCGAAGGAAUGUCAAGUUCCAAAGGACACAUAUUGCUUGUCUCUGAACUUCUCAGCUGCCUGCAGAUCUUCCUGUUUUUCAGCUGCAGUUAGGGUUUGUCUGAGGAGAAGCAUAACAUCCCUCCAGGCUUACCCUGGUUGCUCAGUGAAGAAUAAAGUACAGGGAACAUGAGAGAAUACAUGGGAGAUCAAUCAAGAUGCUACUUCAGUAAUCCAUGACAAUGACAACGUAAAGUAAUGCAAGGUGCACGUGAUGGGUAUGGCCAAAUGCUCCACAAAUAAAUGUGUUGAAUGAAUGAACAAAUGAAUAAGCGAAGUGAAUGGAACAUCAAACUGCAUAAAAAUAUAUUUAUUCAUAAAUGAGAGGUGAUGAUUGCCAACAUAUCAUAAUCAGACUCUGACCUUGGUUACUUAUGAGUUUGACAACGAAGAGGAAAGAGGAUCAGAAACAUUAUAGAUGCCAGAUUCACAAAAGAAGAUAUAUGAUAGAAGCUGGAAUUGUUUGAAUAAAAAGAGUCAAAUUUUACAUUGGAUUAACCAGAGGGAAGAAAGUAGAUGGAUAGGAAAGGAGAAGGCAGGCUUAGCCAAGCCAAAGAAAGAGACUAGACUCAGGAGGCACUGGGAGAAAAAGGAACUCUGUCAAAGAAGAGUACCAUUAUAGUUUGAAGAGAGCUGAGAGGCUGUUAAGUCCCCCAUGUCGUUCCUAAUCCAAAAACACCCGAUCCUAAACACUAUAAUCCUGAAUGUUGAAAUCCUGAAACAUCAAAAUCCCUAAGUCUAAAAUCCUUAUCUAACAUCCAGAAGAUCACUAUCACAGGACAGUUGCACCAUGGUAUUGCAUCAUGUUAAAUGUAAUUAUUUCCUUGUUUACUCUUUAUUCGGAAAUUAAGCAUGGCUAAGAAGGUAUGUAGAGGUGCCAAGUCAACAAGGGGUGGACCCAUGGACUUAAUUUUAGGUGUCAACUUGGCUGGGUUAAGGAAUGUCUGGAAACUUGGUAAAGCAUUAUUUUGGGUAUGCCUCGAGGGUGUUCUCAGAAAAGAUUAAUGUGUAGGUCUGAGUGGACUAGGUGGGAAAGAUCUGUCAAUGUCUGGAAUAUAGAAAAAGUGAAAAUGAAGGUAAAAAA